UACAGAGGUGGCAAGCGUUGUUCGGAAUUACUGGGCGUAAAGCGUGCGCAGGCGGUUUUGUAAGUUUGUCGUGAAAGCCCCGGGCUCAACCUGGGAAUUGCGAUGAAGACUGCAAGGCUUGAAUCUGGCAGAGGGGGGUAGAAUUCCACGUGUAGCAGUGAAAUGCGUAGAGAUGUGGAGGAACACCGAUGGCGAAGGCAGCCCCCUGGGUCAAGAUUGACGCUCGAUGCACGAAAGCGUGGGGAGCAAACAGG
rnacentral:rRNA from 1 species